rnacentral:lncRNA from 1 species
UAUGUUAUUAUCCUUCUCUCUCUACAGUAUAUUAUUAUCCUUCUCUCUCUUACAUAUAUUAUUAUCCUUCUCUCUCUCUACAGUAUAUUAUUAUCCUUCUCUCUCUACAGUAUAUUAUUAUCCUUCUCUCUCUCUACAGUAUAUUAUUAUCCUUCUCUCUCUACAGUAUAUUAUUAUCCUUCUCUCUCUCUACAGUAUAUUAUUAUCCUUCUCUCUCUCUACAGUAUAUUAUUAUCCUUCUCUCUCUCUCUACAGUAUAUUAUUAUCCUUCUCUCUCUCUCUACAGUAUAUUAUUAUCCUUCUCUCUCUCUACAGUAUAUUAUUAUCCUUCUCUCUCUCUCUCUACAGUAUAUUAUUAUCCUUCUCUCUCUCUACAGUAUAUUAUUAUCCUUCUCUCUCUCUUACAUAUAUUAUUAUCCUUCUCUCUCUCUCUACAGUAUAUUAUUAUCCUUCUCUCUCUACAGUAUAUUAUUAUCCUUCUCUCUCUCUCUACAGUAUAUUAUUAUCCUUCUCUCUCUCUCUACAGUAUAUUAUUAUCCUUCUCUCUCUCUCUACAGUAUAUUAUUAUCCUUCUCUCUCUCUACAGUAUAUUAUUAUCCUUCUCUCUCUCUACAAUAUAUUAUUAUCCUUCUCUCUCUCUACAGUAUAUUAUUAUCCUU